AUUGAUCAUUGGAAAUUUGCACCUGUACAUAGUCUCUCUUGGUUCUUAUUUUUCACACUUGCCCAGCCCUCCCUUCAACCUCUCCAUUCCUCCCUAUUUACAAAGAUUUUGUUCCUAUUUUUCCAUUUUCUCAUAUUAAUCCCAUUCCUUUCUAUCCUUUCCUCUAGCCCUCCCACUUCCUUCCCCUUUGCCCCUUUUCUUCCUAUUUCACAUGACCUAUUAUACAUUUAGUCUUUAUUUACACUUUCAGUUUCUCACACCAGAGAAACUAUUUGGUAUUUACACAUGUGUGUCCUAUUUAUUUCACUUAAGAGUAUUGCCUCAGUGUGCAUCCACUUAGCUAUAAAUGUCUCUAAUUUCUCAUUUUUUAUGGCUGAGUAGUACUCCAUUUUUUAAAAAUCCACAUUUUCUUUAUCCAGUCUCCAGUUGAUGGGCAUUUGGGCUGUUUCCAGGUUUUAGCUAUUACAAACUGUGCUGCUAUGAACAUGGGUGCACACAUAUCACUGUGGUAUGAUUCUUUUAAUUCUUUGGGGAAGAUCCCCAGCAGUGGAAUAGCAGGGUCAAAUGGGACUUCCAGUCCUAGUUCUUUGAGGUAUCUCCAUACUGAUUUCCACAGUGCUUGCACCAGUCUACCCUCCCACCAGCAGUGGAGCAGGGUUCCUCUUUCCCCACAGCCCCGCCAGCAUUUGUUAUUGGUUGAUUUCAUGAUAACAGCCAUUCUUUCUGGAGUGAAGUGGAAUCUCAGUGUUCUUUUCAUUUGCAUCUCUCGAAUGACCAGUGAUGUUGAAUAUUUUUUCAUGUAUUUAUUUGCUAUUUCUACUUCUUUGUCUGAGAAAUGUCUGUUCAUUUCAGAUGCCCAGUUUUGGAUUGGGUCUUUAAAUUUGGGAGGUCUGAUCUUUUUAAGUUCUUUAUAGAUUGGAGAUAGUAGACCUUUGUCUGAGGAAGAGCAGGUGAAGAUUUUUUCCCACAUUGUGGGUUGUCUCUUCACACUACUGGUGGUUUCUCUUGCUGUGCAGAAGCUUUUUAAUAAGAAGAGAUCCCACUUGUUGAUUGUGCUAGUACACGGGCAACUGAGGUUUUGUUCAUAAAAUCUUUUCCUACACCGAUGUCUUCAAGGGUUCUACCUAACCUCUAUUCCAACUGGUUCAGAGUUUCUAUUUUAAUAUUUAGAUCUUUAAUCCAUUUUGAUUUUAGUUUAGUGCAUGGGGAGAGAUAUAGGUCUAGUUUUAAUCUUUGGCAAGUUGAAGCCCAAUUUUUCCAGCACCAUUUAUUAAAGAGUCUAUCUUUCCUCCAGUGAGGAUGUUUGGCUCCUUUGUCGAAGAUGAGAUGGCUGAGUGUGUCUGGCAUUGUUUCUGCAUCUUCUAAUCUGUUCCACUGGUCCUCAAGUCUGUUUCUUUGCCAGUACCAUGCUGUUUUUAUCACAGUAGCUUUGUAGUAGAGUUGCAUGUUGGGGAUUAUGAUACCCCCUGCCAUGUCUCUGUUGCCUAGAAUUGCUUUUGCUAUUCUAGGUCUCUUCUUGCUCCAAAUGAAUUUAUGGAUUGUUUUCUUGAGGUCUAUGAAGUAUGCUGCUGGGAUCUCAAUUGGAAUUGCAUUAAAUCUAUAUAGCAGUUUUGGAAGUAUGGCCAUUUUCACUGUAUUAAUCCUUCCUACCCAGGAGCAGGGGAUGUCUGUCCAUUUUCUGAUAUCAUCUUCAAUCUCUCUUUUUCAGAGUGCCAUAGUUUUCAGAGAAGAGGUCUUUGAUUUCUUUCAUUAGGAUGAUUCCUAGGUAUUUCAGUUUUUUGGAUGCUAUUGUGAAAGGAAUUAUUUGCCCUAUUUCUCUCUCAGUGAGUCUGUCAUUCGUGUAGAGGAAAGUUAUUGAUUUUUGUGUGUUGACCUUGUAACCAGCUACUUGACUGAAUUUGAUUAUUAAGUCUAGAAGACUUUUGGUGGAGUUCUUGGGGUCUUCUGUAUAGAGUAUCAUGUCAUCCGCACAUAAUGACAGUUUGACUUCUUCAUUACCUAUCUUUAUUUCUUUCUCUUGUCUAAUUGCUGUGGCUAAUGUUUCCAGAACUAUAUUGAACAAGAGUGGUGAUAGUGGACAUCCUUGGCUUUUUCCUGAUUUGAGUGUAAAGGAUUUCAGUUUUUGACCAUUUAGUAUGAUAUUGGCUGUUGGUUUUUCAUAGAUGGCUUCUAUCAGUUUUAGGUAGAGACCAUCUAUUCCAAUUUUGUGUAGGGUUUUUAACAUAAAUGCAUGUUGGAUUUUGUCAAAUGCUUUUUCUGCAUCUGUGGAGAUACUCAUGUGGUUUUUGUCCUUGGCUCUAUUGAUAUAGUGUAUUACAUUGAUUGAUUUUCAUAUAUUGAACCAUCCUGCAUCCCUGGGUUGAAUCCCUCUUGAUCAGGGUGUAUGAUCUUCUUGAUGAUCUUCUGCAUUCUGUUUGCCAGGAUCUUAUUAAGGAUUUUUGCAUCUAUGUUCAUUAGUGAGAUUGGCCUAUAGUUCUCUUUUUCAGUUGGGUCUUUCUCUGCUUUGGGGAUCAAGGUGAUGCUUGCUUCCAGGAAUGAAUUGGGGAGUAUUGCUUCCCUUUCAAUUUCAUUGAAGAGUUUAAACAGUAGUGGCAGCAGUUCCUCUCUAAAUGUCUUGUAGAAUUCAGCAGUGAAGCCAUCAGGGCCCGGGCUUUUCUUAGUUGGUAAGUUUUUAAUUACAUUUUCAAUUUCAUUGGUUGGUAUUGGGUUGUUCAGAAUUUUUAGGUCUUCUUCGUUCAACUUUGGUAAUUCAUAUGUAUCUAGGAAUCUGUCCAUUUCUUCUGUGUUGUCCAUCUUAUUGGCGUAUAGGUUCUGGAAGUAGGUAUUGAUGAUCCUCUGGAUUUCUGCUGGGUCUGUUGUAAUUUCACUCUUUUCAUUCCUACUUGCAUGGAUUUGGGCCUUUCCUUUUUCUGACAAGGUUGGCUAAAGGUUUGUCAAUUUUGUUGAUUCUUUCAAAGAACGAACUCUUGGCUUCAUUGAUUUUUUUGUAUCGUUCUCUUAGUCUCCAUUGCAUUGAUUUCUCUUCUGAUCUUUAUAAUUUCCUCCCUUGUAUGAGCUUUGGGUUUGUCCUGUUCUUCUUUUUCUAGAAGCUUGAGGUUCAGCAUCAGGUUGUUUCAUUGGGCUCCUUCUGUUUUCCUAAUAUGCGCGUAUUCACUGCUAUGAGUUUCCCUUGUAAGACUGCUUUCAUUGUGUCCCAUAGAUUGUGAUAUGUUGUAUUGUCAUUGUCAUUUAAUUGAAGGAACUGUCUGAUUUCUUCUUUAAUUUCCUCUGUGACCCAUUGGUUAUUCAGAAGUGUGUUGUUCAAUUUGCACGUGUUUAUGAAAUUUUUUGAGUUUCUUUUGCUAUGGAUCUCCAAUUUCAUCGCACUAUGGUCUGAUAAUAUACAGGGGAUAUAUAUUUGCACUUACUUAAACUGUUUUAUGUGUGACUAUCUGGUCUAUUUUUGAGAAUGACCCAUGAGCAGCUGAGAAGAAUGUGUAUUCUGAUUUUGUGGGGUGGAAGACUCUGUAAACAUCUGUUAAAUUCAUUUGUUCAAGAGUUUGAUUGAGUUCUAGUAUUUCAUUACUUAUUUUUUGUCUAGUUGAUCUAUCUAUUUGUGACAGUGGGUUGUUGAGGUCCCCCACUACAGUUGUAUUAGUGCAUAUAUGACUUUUCAUGUCCGUUAGUAUUUCUUUUUUAUAGUUGGGUGCACUAGUGUUUGGUGCGCAGAUAUUUAUGAUUGUCAUGUCUUCCUCUUGGAUUCUUCCCUUUACAAGGAUGUAGUGUUGUUCUUUGUCUCUCUUAAUCAUUGUUGGUUUGAAAUCUACUUGAUCUGCAAAGAAGAUAUCUACUCCUGCUUUUUUUCGGGUUCCUGUCACAUGGAGUAUUGUUUUCCACCCUUUAACUUUCAGGCUAUGAGUUUCGUUUUGAAUGAAGUGUGUUUCUUGUAUGCAGCAUAUUGUUGGAUUUUGCUUCUUGACCCAUUCUGCCAGUCUGUUUCUUUUGAUUGGUGAAUUGAGACCAUUAAUGUUAAUGGUUAUAACUGAAACGUAUUGACUUGUCAUUGCCAUGACUUUUUCUUUUCGUUGGGUUGUCCCCCUUUACAUUUAAUUUCUUGCCAUGCCAGAUGGGUUCAUUCUGCUUUGCUUCCUGGGUUUGUGAUCCUCAAUUUCUGUUCCUAGGAUAUUGUGUAAAAUUCUUUGGAGUGCUGGUUUGGUAUUCACAAAGCUUCUAAGGUGCUCUUGGUCAUGAAAGUAUCUUAUUUCUCCAUCCAUUUUGAAAGAUAGUUUUGCAGGGUACAUCAAUCUGGGUUGGAGGCUGUUUUCUUUUAGGGCUUGGAAUAUGUCACUCCAAGCUCUUCUUGCCUUGAUGGUUUGUGUUGAGAAGUCUGCUGGUAUUCUGAUGGGCUUUCCUUUGUAUGUGAUUUGUUUCUUUUCUCUGACUGCUUGGAGAACUUUGUUCUUCUGUUGUGUUUCAGGAAUCCUAACAAUUAUAUGUUUAUGUGAGAUUUUUUUUGAUCAAGGCUAUUUGGAGUCCUAUAUGCCUCCCUUAUCUGUAUGUCAAGCUCUUUUCCCCUGCUUGGGAAGUUUUCUGCCAUUAUUUCUGUGGAGAGAUUUUUUUAUGUCAUCUCCAUUCUCUCCUGUUUCUUCAUUGAGCCCAAUCAGUCUUCUAUUAUUCUUCUUUGCAUCAUCUAGCAGGUGCUGGAUUGAUUCCUCAUGUUCCCUUAUAAUUUUGAAGCAAUUUUUCUUUUCCUGGUCACUAAUUGCAAUCUUAUCUUCUAUAUCUGAAAUUCUGUCCCCACAUUGGCUCAUUCUGCUGUGUAGACUUUCAAUGGAGUUUUUCAUGUCCUGGAAAUCUAUUUGCAUCUGUUUUAUGGAUUCCUUUUGUUUCUUAUGUUGGGAUUCCAUCAUGUUCCUGAGCUCCUUUCUAGAUUUAUUAAUCAUGACUUGUACUAGGGGCACAAUUUCUCCUGUUAUCUGAGCAAUUAUUUCUGAUUUCAUUUUUUCCAGAUCCCCUUUUGUUGCCAGUUCAGUGGGUCCAGGUGGUUGAGUAUCAAUGUGUUCCAUCUCAUUUCCCUUUGGGGUUGCUGUAGGUGAUAUGGAUAUCUGGUUUUGAGACUUACUUACAUGUUUUCUCAUUUCGACUGGGGUGGGGGCUUAGCGCCUGCACGGAUUACCUCCUCUGAGCUGGGUGAGAUGGGGCAGGGGCCAGGAGCACCGAUAGGGAUGGUGAUCCAAAAGCCCUUUCUUUUAGGCUGGGAGCAGCCGGAGCGAUGGUGGCUGGGAAUCCCCUUCCUCUGGACCAGGAGCAGUGGGAUGGCAGCUCAGAAGCCCCUCCCUCUGGGCCAGGAGCAGUGGGACAGAAGUGUGGAAUCAGGUGGCUGGCUGCCUGUCUGCAGUGGCGUGAUUCGGUGUCUUCCGUGUGACUCAGGACCUCGGUAGGGCAUGCACAGACCUGCCUGUCUGCAGCAGGCUGAUUCGGCGUGUGUUCCAUGCGACUGGGGACCUCGAGGAAGAAGAAAAAAAUAGAAAGUAUUCUCCUGAAGAAAUUCAGAGAAAAAGGCAAGAAGCAUUGGUUCGAAGAAUGGCCAAAGCUCAGGCAUCAUCUGUAAAUUCAGCUCCCAUUCAGUUUCUUCAAUGAAAUAUUAGCUGUAAGAUAAAAACUGUUAAUUAACUAUCUAUGAUAGCAAGUAUUCUUUUAUAUUUCUCUGUGAGAAACAGUGCUAACUUACAAAGCAUGGACUUCUGCUUUAGUAUUAAAUCAGUGUUUGCAAUGAUAAAUGAAACUUUGGAGAUAUAUGUGAAAGUAAUUAUAAGUAGUAGAAAUUCAGGAACACUAAGAAUUAUGUAAUAAAAUUAUGCACAAGAAUGUAGUUGUAUUUUUAAAUCUUAUGCAUGCAGAGAACCACCCAACAAAUAAGUAAUUUACCUAAUUUUCUGUUGUAAUGCCUUUUCCUAAUACAGAGCUUCAACUUCUAAGUUAAUAGAGAUUACUUUUAUAGUUUUAUUUUCAGUAGCUGUUGCUUAAGGUUUUCAUACAUUUCCAAUUUUUGAUUAAUACUUCCAUUAUCCUAGGAACAUGCUUGGUAGGAAAUGAGAACUUCAGUUUUAUUUGUAAGGAAAUUAUUAUUUUCAGUUCUUAGUCAAAGUAGAUUUGAAUUUUAGUAUUUCUAAACUGGGUUUGGAAACUACCAUUUUUAGGAAAAACAUUGGUUAAGGAAGUCUAGGAAAAGAAUGGUGAAUUAGCUAUAUUUGAUAAGUAAUUUAGUGUCAUUAAUGUUUAGAACUGGCAGAAAUUUAAAUAUCUGAUCUACAUUAUUGUAUGGAUGAGAAAAAUUACCACUGUUAUUUUCAAAGUCACAGACAAAUUAAAGCUUUACUUGUAUUAGAGUGCUCUCUUUGAAUACCUAAAUUGUUAAUACCAUUUGCCUCAAAGUAGUAGUCUAUAAAAUAAUUUGAGGGGACAUUAAUUAUUUUACACCAUAAAGAAUAUAAUUAAAAGCACAUGAAGGACUAUUUAACAGCAAUGCUUAUUGUUCCUUGCCUUAAAGAAUGAAUCUCUCCAGGAUAUAUGAAUGAGCUUUUUCUUCUCAGUAUUUCUGUAACUGCGGUUUUCUUCCCAAGUAAUUAGCUUUACCAGCCGCCCCCCCCUUUUUUUUUGUCCUUUUUGCCUUUUUGGAAUUUGUUGUGCCAAUAAUAGCAGUAGACUUUAGGAGACCCGAGGGAGGUUACAGAUAUGAAAUACAUUGGUGUGAUUUUCUCCACUAUUCAAGUGUUUUAGAACUAUGAUGACGUGGUAGCUAUUGCUCUUCAAGUGUGUAUCAUUUUGUAAAUGGUGUAGUAUUUUUGUAUAUAGAAUAACAUUUUAAGUAACUUAAAUUAUUUGUCUAAAAAUACAUAAUGCAGCUAAGUUUAUAGUUAAAAUGAAGAGAUCUCUUUUUCUGAAGUAGCUUCACUGUAUUUUGACUAAGCCUUUGAAUAUCUGUGAAUGAAUUUAGACAAAUUCUUGUUGCCCCACUUGAAUCAGUUUGACUCUGAUUCCCUGAAGUUUAGGGUUGCAAAAUGUUUCUAGCAAUGAUUUAAAUUUAGUUUAACACUGAGUAGUAUGGAUGAUAAUUUAUUUAAAAUCUGACUUAUGAUUUUCAGUUACUGUUGCCAGUAUAAUAAUCACUUGUGGGAUUCAAACACAAAACACCAAACUUAUCUUUGUGCCUAUUUGGAUUUCACAAAUGAGUACAUAUAGGGAUUUUUGAGGUGUGCCUCCUUUUAAAAUCCAUUGGAUAAUAAGGAAAUCGUAAUUAGUAAACUUAACAUUGGUAAAUGUUUUAUUUUCUAGGAAUGGUUUUAAGCACUUUAUAUAUUGAACUCAUUUACUUUUCAAAACAACCAUGCAGAAUAAUGCUUUUACUCCUAUCAUACAAGUAGGAACAGUAAACGAUAACUUUCUUAAAAUUACACAAUUAGAAACAAGUUGGAGCUGAAGUUUGAACUCAAGUAGUGUAAUACCAAAGAUUGUGAUUUUUUUUUUUUUGAAGAUGCAGAUUAGAGUUUAUUAAAUCAAGACUGGAGAAAGUACAGCACAAAUAGAAGUAUGCAGCACCCAAGCUGAACUAAAUCUAAGAUUUCUGAAAAAUAUCUGCUAAUUCCACAACUGGCCAAUUCCUGGCCUAAUGGCACAAUACCCUCUCAGAAAAGAGAACGGAAUAAGUCUUGGUUGAGUUUUGGAAUGAUCUCUGUAGUUUUUAAAGGCUCAUUGUUGAGUCUUCAUAGUGGAUGCAGCUACAACUAGCAAGAUGGCUGUGACUCCAAAGCCCUGGGCAGCAAUUCUGAUUCAUUUCAGGGGCUGGGAGUUCUACUUGAGUCCUGGAUGGAGCAGUAAAGGACACAGGCAAGGGCAACCUCUGUGUCUUAAGCAGCUUGUCACUACCAUUGGAUUCUCACAGGUCUUUGAAAGGAACUUUGUCUUGAAGAUUAUGUUCAGGUAGACACUGAAGCUAAGGUUUUCAGUGACCAAGGACUGCAUUGAGAGUCACAGGGCCAGAAGUUACCAUUUGGGAUCAAUACAAGUAUGAGAAAAACCCCAGAAUUGUGUUGGACAGGAGGACAAUACUGAGGAUGGAACCUAGGACCUGUACACUAAGCAAAGCUCUUGUUUUUUGUUUUGAGACAGGAUCUUGCUCUGUUGUUUGGGCUGGACUCAAACUUGCAAUCCUCUCUCUCAGAGGGUUAGGACUGCAAGCAUGUGCCACCACACCAGGCUGUGAUUUUAAAUAUUGAUUAUACUGUCAUCUGUGGAAACAGUUUGUAACAAGUGAUCUGUGGAAAUUAUACAGCAAAAUAUUAAAGGAUUUCACUCAUUUGUGCCAGAAAUUUCACAAGUAUUCUUUAGAUCGCUUAAUUUUCUAACUCAAGAAUUGUUUUACUUUUCUAAUUAGUGUUGCAAAUGACUGCUAUACUUUGUUUGGAUGGGUGAAUGCUGAUUAUAGGAAUGUACAUAUACAUAGAAGUUGCCUUUUUUCAUUCAGCUGUUAGUAUAGGGAAUAAAAUGCAGUUAUUUUUAAUUGUCUUCAUUACCUCAUUAUUUUAGUAACCUCUGGAUGUUGUGGUUUUAAAUAUUGAGGACAAACUCAUUUCCUAGUCCAAAAUAUGAUAUACCUCAGUGGUGGUGAAUCUAUAGCAUGUGUGCUGCAGCUGGCUAUUUCUAUUACUGAAAGCUUCCAAAAGGUACACACUGAUAUACCUCAAGCUAGUAAAACUCCAAG
rnacentral:lncRNA from 1 species